CUCAUCACCCUGUGACAUACCUAAAACGUUGCUUCGGCGGGAACAGACGGCCCUGUAACAACGGGCCGCCCCCGCCAGAGGACCCCUAACUCUGUUUUUAUAAUGUUUUUCUGAGUAAACAAGCAAAUAAAUUAAAACUUUCAACAACGGAUCUCUUGGCUCUGGCAUCGAUGAAGAACGCAGCGAAAUGCGAUAAGUAAUGUGAAUUGCAGAAUUCAGUGAAUCAUCGAAUCUUUGAACGCACAUUGCGCCCGCCAGUAUUCUGGCGGGCAUGCCUGUUCGAGCGUCAUUACAACCCUCAGGCCCCCGGGCCUGGCGUUGGGGAUCGGCGGAAGCCCCCUGUGGGCACACGCCGUCCCUCAAAUACAGUGGCGGUCCCGCCGCAGCUUCCAUUGCGUAGUAGCUAACACCUCGCAACUGGAGAGCGGCGCGGCCAUGCCGUAAAACACCCAACUUCUGAAUGUUGACCUCGAAUCAGGUAGGAAUACCCGCUGAACUUAAGCAUAUCAAUAAGGCGGAGGA
rnacentral:rRNA from 1 species